GACGAACGCUGGCGGCGUGCUUAACACAUGCAAGUCGAACGGAAAGGCCCUGCUUUUGUGGGGUGCUCGAGUGGCGAACGGGUGAGUAACACGUGAGUAACCUGCCCUUGACUUUGGGAGAACUUCAGGAAACUGGGGCUAAAACCGGGUAGGAGCUCCUGCUGCAUGGUGGGGGUUGGAAAGUUUCGGCGGUUGGGGAUGGACUCGCGGCUUAUCAGCUUGUUGGUGGGGUAGUGGCUUACCAAGGCUUUGACGGGUAGCCGGCCUGAGAGGGUGACCGGGCACAUUGGGACUGAGAUACGGCGCAGACUGCUACGGGCGGCAGCAGUGGGGAAUAUUGCACAAUGGGCGGAAGCCUGAUGCAGCAACGCCGCGUGCGGGAUGACGGCCUUCGGGUUGUAAACCGCUGUCGCCUGUGCCGAAGAGUGAGUGACGGUAAUGAGUAAAGAAGCACCGGCUAACUACGUG
rnacentral:rRNA from 1 species